GGCUAGAGUUCUUCAUGCCAGGACCAUUUUCAUUGUCACAAAACAAUUGCAGACUGAGUCUGUCAUGGCUGUGGUUAGUCCCAUACAAGCUAUAUAACACUUCUGUACAGUCUAAUCAGUCCUCAUACUCUUCACUUUAUUGGCAUUGAUUUGGGAACGUCUCAACAGAUAAAACGGUCCCAUCUUUCAAAACAGUCUAUCACCACAUAUGAGGGAUUUCUCCUAUACAUUGCACACUGAAGUUUGCAAAACUGUUGGGUUUCCACUUCUCAGAAUAUUCGUCCGACUUCUCAGGCCCCUGAUCGCGUGCUUUAGUAGUACAUCUGCUAUCAUACAUUCAUUACUAACCAUUCUGAUCAUGUUCCUCUCCUCCUAUGAUCAUAAGGUGGGUUUCCAUUCAGCUCGUUCGCAUUAGCUAUAGCCUACGCAUUCACGGUGAUUCGCACAAACCAAAUGCGCAUCAGCGACCGUUUCAACCUGAGUCCUGAGUUUUGUGUAGGCUAUAAUGGACGCCCUCCUCUCCGCAGUCAGAAUUAUCAAUGCUGUAGCUAUUGAGCUAUUUACUUUAAUAGCUGCUAGAAGGAGAAGGCGUGGAAUGAUUUUACAUAUUUUACGCACUCAGAUAGCAGCGAAUUCCAUACCCAUACAGACCUCCGUACAUCUGGGAACGAGCGCGGGCUAGGGAGUUUUUUUAUUUGGUGAAUGCCCACUUCACUGAUCAGCUGUGGGUGGAAAACUUCAGGCUAACCAGGUCAGCAUUCUAAGAAUUGGCGCCAACUGAUAGGCCCUGCUGUGUCGCCUGCAAGUGUUUGCUGCCGAAAGCCUGUCCCCACAGACGAGCGCAUUGCUAUAACGCUUUAUAAACUCGCAACAUGCGCAGAAUACCGGGUUGCGUAAGCAAGACUACUGGCCAUAGAUGUAUGUAUGCAGUAUGCUUUGCCAUCCGUGAACAAGCCAAACAACAUACAAAGUUACCCGACCUUGGGAUUGCUGACCGCAACAACCGCGCACACCAUGUCCCGCAGGUGUUUGGUGCACUGGAUGGAACUCACGUUCCCAUACUUCCCCCAGCAGCAGGCUAUCGGGAUUUAAUCAACCUUAAAGUAUGGCUUAGUAUCAUUCUUCAAGCCCUUGUUGAUGAUAAAUUGAUAUUUAGAGAUUUCUGUGUUGGAACACCCGGUAGCGCGCACGAUGCUGCUGUUUUCGCCUCCUCUUGGCUUUUCAGAUUCCUGCCAAAAGUGAAGCAGCGGACUCAAACGAUGCUUCAGAUGUCACCACUGAUUUCCGUGUGGAAGUGCAUCAUGUCAGCAAGAUACGUUCGAAAGCUGUAUGACGGAGGUCGCUGAAAUAGGUGACAACUCUGUGCUAUCGUGACUAUCUGAUAUUUGACAAUCAUUACUAACCACUCUGAUCAUGUUCCUCUCCUCCUAGGGUCAAAGACCACUAGGAACGUUCAUCAAUGACAGAAAUCUCAUGGAAUAAUCCAAAAAUCUCUAUCCGAUUCACGCUCAGAGAAGAACACCGCAGCUCAUCAUCGUGGGUAGCGAGACACAUCACUUUCGAAACGCAUUUCAAAGUCAAUAACUAUAGAAAUGAUCCCUGAAAGUAUAGUCUCAUUUUCUUCAACGUUCUCUGGACGAUAGUUUCUCAUGUACCUACAUUUCACAGUGACGGUUGUGCUGACACCAAUAACUCCGAUGCAGGGUGAAGGAUUUUUCUCUGUGCGAUGUCAAAAUCCUUGCUUAAAAAUUACUCUACUAUCUUAAUUAUAUGCCAAACAGUUUCAACUCUGUACAUAUUUGUAAUGAAGACACGGAGCACACCCUUCCCCUAUACUGAAAUACCUACACUGGCUCCCAGUAACUUACAGGAUUGACUUUAAAGCACUGCUGGUUGUUUUCAAGUCACUUAAUGGGAUAGGGCCAAAGGAUCUAUCUGACAUGUUUCGGCAGUACGUACCACUCAGAUCUCUCAGAUCGCAGAAUAAAUUUAUAUUAGUAAAACCCA
rnacentral:lncRNA from 1 species